GGAAGAUCCACUUUUCGCCCCAACUUCCGCUGAUACCGAGGAAGAAUUCGAAGACUGGGUUGAGAAGAACAAGGAGCCAGUUAUGCAAAAACUCACCCUUGACAAUUACUUCAACCUUUGG
rnacentral:sRNA from 1 species